UAGAGUUUGAUCAUGGCUCAGAAUGAACGCUGGCGGCGUGCUUAACACAUGCAAGUCGUACGAGAACGCUUCAGCUUGCUGAAGCUAGUAAAGUGGCGCACGGGUGAGUAACGCGUGGGUAAUCUACCUCCGAGUCGGGGAUAACCUCGCGAAAGCGGGGCUAAUACCGGAUAAUAUCUCUCGGAUUCCGGCCUUUUAGAUCAAAGGUGGCCUCUACAUGUAAGCUACCGUUCGGAGAUGAGCCCGCGUACCAUUAGCUUGUUGGUAGGGUAACGGCCUACCAAAGCCGCGAUGGUUAGCUGGUCUGAGAGGAUGAUCAGCCACACUGGAACUGACACACGGUCCAGACUCCUACGGGAGGCAGCAGUGAGGAAUUUUGCGCAAUGGGGGAAACCCUGACGCAGCAACGCCGCGUGAGUGAUGAAGGCCUUCGGGUCGUAAAGCUCUGUCAAGUGGGAAGAACCUGGACUAUGCCAAUACCAUAGACCACUGACGGUACCACUGAAGGAAGCACCGGCUAACUCCGUGCCAGCAGCCGCGGUAAUACGGAGGGUGCAAGCGUUAUUCGGAAUCACUGGGCGUAAAGGGCGCGCAGGCGGUUUGGUUAGUCAGAUGUGAAAGCCCGGGGCUCAACCCCGGAAGUGCAUUUGAUACUACCAAACUUGAGUAUGGGAGAGGGAAGUGGAAUUCCUGGUGUAGAGG
rnacentral:rRNA from 1 species